rnacentral:rRNA from 1 species
AUGGCUUCCAAACCUUCUCCAGUUGGUGAUGAGUUGAAUAGUUCUGAAAAAAAUGCCUGCGAUCAAGAUGGAGCUUUAGAGGUUAAUACUGAUGCUCCAAUAUCUGAUGCGGCUAAAUCACCCAUUAUCCCUUUGACUUUGAUUGCCGAGGUUGCUUCGAGCCUUGAGGAUGUUUCAAGCCUCGAGGAUCUUGCUUCAGCAGCUCUUGCUUCACCUAAUGUGUCCACAGAGGAGGAAGCUGUGAACACCAUCAACGAUGUUUUAUCUGAGUUGGGUUUAUCAGAAAACCCUGCUGCAGUUGAGGAGGGGGCUCCCUCAUCCAAAGGUUGUGAUUCCGUUCCGGAUCCUUUGUGCUCUCUUCAGAUGUUAGAGACGCAGUCGCAGUCUGUUGAUGGCACUGAACCUGUCACGCAACCCGAGGAUGUGCCUCUUCAGCUUCUCUUGGAGGACCAACGUAAGAGGAAGAAUCGAGAAGAUUUUGACAAGAAGAGGGCGGCCUGCCUUGAGAAAGGUUCUGAUGUUCCUGGAUCUGUUCAUGCGGCUAAGCUCAUUGUUGAGGAAGACGUGUCGUGUGGCAGUGAUGGCACGGUUGUCCUUGUUAAGAAGAAAAUUAAGAAGACUACUGCGAGGAAGCUAGUAGUUGGUGAAGUUACUCCUCGGAGGAGCCCACGUGUUUCAAGGCCUGCAGAAGUUGUUGAAGAUGAAGGGCUAGGCGUUGGUGGUACGCCACGCCGUAGUCCUCGUGUGCUUGCCACUGCCGCGCCUACACCUUCUCCGCUUGGUGCUGGUGCAUCUGGUAAGGGGAAGAAAUGCGGUGUGAAGCGCAAGGUUCCACCUGCAAAGGUCAACAAGGGUGUGAAGAAGCGUUCUCGUGUUAAUCCAGAGGACGAUGAUGAUGCUGAUUUCAAUGUUGAUGAUGAGGACGAUGACGAUGAUGAUGCUGCCGCUAAUCAGUAUCAGCUUGUGCUAUGGCCUGAGAGGAGGAAGAGAGGAGGCAAAGCGCCCGAAGAAGGUGGCCAAGGAGGAGGUGAGGCGAAACGUUUUAACAAGACGGUUCGCUGCUCACUAGGAGAGGUCAAGAUGUGUGCGAAAAUGCUACAACAUAGGCACAAGACGAGGGUUAUCAAGGCUGGUUUUGGUUGUGUGUUUGACUUGAAGGUUGAUUCCAACAUUUCUCGUCCUUUGAUGGGCAACAUCUACACGAGGAUUGACCCUUCAACCAUGAUUUUGGACAUGGGUGAGGCGAACAAGGGCAAGCUUGGGUAUGCUAGGAGUGACGACAUCAAGACAAAGGAUUUGCGGAAUAUCCUUGCUGAACUUGUGAAGGAUGAGAUGAAGGAUGAUCUUGCUCUGCAGGUGUUUUACCUUAUUGUUUUCAUGAAGGUGGUUAUCCCUGGAACGUCUACACGAGUGUCCAGGGAGGCAGCAAUGGCCGAGAACCUUGUGUUUGAGGAUAUGGCAGACAUGGACCACUGCCAGUUGGUUGUUUACGAUAUUCGGAGUGCUGUUGUUAGGUAUCAGCAAGGUACUAGCAGAGGAAAAGCUGUCACGGGCUGUGCCAUCGCGCCGCUUCUUAUGUAUCUGGACUGCCUUAUCAUUGGCAAGACGCCUAAUAUUGACUUGAGGACCCCUCGCAUCAAUUUCAUGGAUCAGGCCAAGCUUCUUGAGCUUGCUGCGGCUGACUUGGUCACGAAAGGUGAUGAUGACCCAGCCAACUGGGUGUUUGGCAGAUUGCCUGUGGCGUUUCUUCCGAGGAUUUGUUUGAAGCUGCCAAUGUUUCUCUGGCACAGGUUUGAUGCUGAGUCUUCGAAGGAGGUCUUAUGUAUUGAAGCUAAAUUUCUUGAAGAGCUUCGUCAGAGCACUUCCCACCUAUGGACUAGCGUUGGGCUGUUCAAGGAAAUGCAGGAUGCUCGUUGCAAGCCUUUUGAAGAUGAGGCAACUGUUGUUGUGAGACAGAUUCAGAGGCAGGAUUCUGUUCGUUCGGGUCGUGAAGGAGGCCACGUGGAGCAUACCGAAGAGUCUGUUGAUGAUGAUGCUAGGGUUGAGGAGGAUGUUUUACCUGCGCAUGAAGCUGCUCCUAUGCAUGAGGCUGCCCCUGUGCAUGAACCUGCUCCGGCUAGUGGCGUAAUAGUUGAUGAGGUUCAUGGCAGUGAAAAUGAGCAGCAGAAUGAUGAUGUUAGUGUUCCUCCAGAGAAGGUUGCAGACAUGUCCGUCUCAGGCACCGGCUGCUCCGAUGGGGUGGUCCUGACUGAACCUCAGUCGUCCAUUGUCGCCGAGGUUUCUAAUGCUGAGCAGGGCAAGACAACUGGAGACAUCAUUUUGGAGAAAGAUGUUGUUGAGUUUGCUGUUGAAACUGGUGAUAGUGCUGCUGCAAGCCCGGAGAAGUCUCCUGCAGCAGAGCCAUCAGUUGAUGUUAAUGCUGUACAGACACAACCAAAAGUUUUCUUGUUUCAGAUUCUCCAGCUGCUGCUGGUGUCCUUCCUGACGACGCUGCAACGUCAGCUGGAGACGACGAGGAAGAUACCGAAAGCGAUAGCUAUGGAGAGGAGAAUGUUAAGUGAACCUGUUUUCUAUGUGGGUGGAGAUAGCGACCUUGCUGUCGUGCGAAAGAAGGUUGAUGACUUUUAUUACAGUGUAACUAGGCUUAGGAACGACCGUUCCAAGAGAUCAAUGAUUAUGUUCCAAAACAAGGAGUGUGAAGCUUCUGUUCAAGAAGUCGCAAUAUCUUUUGGUCCUCGCGGAAUGCUUACAUCUAACGUGGCUGAGUGUGCACUCUAUUGUCUACGUGCGAAGUACCAGGGAUCGGAUAAACUCAUCCUGCCGUAUUGGGUUUCUGACAAGAUUUUCAGAGGUCAAUUUGAUUCCCGUGUGAGGAAGUACUUCAUGGCGAGUGGUCCAAAUAGCAUGGAUGCACAUGAUUCGGUUGUUUUCCCUACUUUUGACCCGCCUGAGCUUCCUGCUUCCAUGGGUGGUGUCGUGGAACCGUUGGAGCUGACCGAUUACCACUACUCAUUCCUCGGGUCACAGGAAUACCAGCCUAGGGAGGAACCGAUGAGUACAGCUCCGAUAGAAGAUGAUAGACCUCGGACCCUUAUUCCUUCCAAGUUGGGGAAGCAGGCUGGUGGUAUUCGUGGUACUCCAAAAACCCCUUGCUACAGGAAGGAUGAUGCAGUCGAAGCAGCCGAAGCAGAAGUGAUUUCGUCCGAUGAUGAUUUUGAGAAGAUUGCUUACCCGAAGAAUGCUGCUGCUGGUACUGUUGCUGGUAGAGGUGGGAAGAAUGUUGUGAUCACCAAGAGGAAACCGGCAGUUGAGUCUGGGAACAUAACUUUCUCCAAGAGAGCAUCAAGAUUGCCUUUGAAGACAAGCUACUGCAUGUUUACCAUCCCUGCGAAUGUGAUUAACCUCACAGGACGUGUCCUUUAUACGCUUUUCGGUGAAGGGCAACAGAUGGAAGGCGACAUAAUGGAUUAUCUCAUAAAUUUGUGGAAGGAUAAGACGGAGACCUCUGAGAUAUUCACUAGUGCUGACAGGGUUGUACUUAGUCCCUACUUCAUACAGGUUUUCUUGAUUCUAUUCAAGCCAAUUGGCACAAUGGCGCACUACAGUGUGUAUGUGUUGAAUAGAUAUCAUGGGAGCAUUGACAUCCUUGAUUCACUUUCUUACGAUAAUAUGCAAACGUCACGAUCGAGUUUCCAUGGGGACUGCCAAAAUAUCAUGAAGAGAUUUGUUGGGUUGCUCGAGGAGGUGUAUGGCAAGGCUGCAUACAAGGCGAGCAAGCAGCCCAACUGGGUGACUAUUGCAAAGAGGCCGACUUUCAUCGAUGUUCAGAAGCAGAAGAGUAAUGAUUGUGGUUUCUUUGCCGUGAAGUUCAGCUCUUCGUAUGAUGGCGAUGAGAUUGUUGAAGAUUUUGGUGAUGUGAAGCUGCUGCAGAUGACUGGAAGGCUGAGUUGCACACUCUGA